UACGUAGGGUCCGAGCGUUGUUCGGAUUUACUGGGCGUAAAGGGUGCGUAGGUGGCGAGGUAAGUUCGAUGUGAAAUCUCCGAGCUCAACUCGGAAAUGGCAUUGAAUACUAUCCCGCUUGAGGGUCGGAGGGGAGACUGGAAUUCUCGGUGUAGCAGUGAAAUGCGUAGAUAUCGAGAGGAACACCAGUGGCGAAGGCGAGUCUCUGGACGACUCCUGACACUGAGGCACGAAAGCGUGGGGAGCAAACAGG
rnacentral:rRNA from 1 species